rnacentral:SRP_RNA from 2 species
GUCGAGCUCGGUAACAUGGGCUUGUAAUCCAAGCGGAGACAAUAAGAUGAUGGGACGUUGGAUCGAUCUCAUUGGGCCGGGUUUGGUUGGGCUUAUUAUGGCUUGCCCAUUCCAAGUUGGGAGUUGAAGCAUGCGGCUUGUGCGUAGGCUUUGGUCACGUGUUUCUUAGAGUGGGGGAGACUGCGUGAGGCUGGUUUCACAGAGCAGCGUACACCUCCCGCUCUUGACGGUGGAAGGAUAACAGGCCUUCGCCUUCUGAGCCCACAAUGACCCAAUAAGCCGAUUCCGAUUGGACCAUCAUCUUU